CAUGAAGAACGCAGCGAAAUGCGAUAAGUAAUGUGAAUUGCAGAAUUCAGUGAAUCAUCGAAUCUUUGAACGCACCUUGCGCCCUUUGGCCAUUCCGAAGGGCAUGCCUGUUUGAGUAUCAUGAACACCUCAACUCUUUAUGGUUUUCCAUGAUGAGCUUGGACUCUGGGGGUUUUGCUGGCUCACAGUCGGCUCCUCUAAAAUGAAUCAGCUUACCAGUGUUUGGUGGGUAUCAUGGGUGUGAUAACUAUCUACGCUUGUGGUUUUUCCACCAGGUAACCUUCAGCAGUGGAGGUUCGCUGGAGCUCAUAGAUGUCUCUCCUCAGUGAGGACAGCCCUUUGAAUGUUUGAUCUCAAAUCAGGUAGGACUACCCGCUGAACUUAAGCAUAUCAAUAAGCGGAGGA
rnacentral:misc_RNA from 1 species